rnacentral:lncRNA from 1 species
AGAAACGACUUCUAGUCCUCAAUUAAUCCCUUAAUUACUUCUAAGUCCUCGAACUUCCAAAGUUUCAAAUCCAGACCUUCUAAAAUCAAGUAUUUAUAGUAAAGCUCAUAAACUUCUUAGAAUUCAAGAUUCAAUCCUAAGUCAUAUCUUCCAACAUCAAGAUUGCCAUCACAACUUAAUCCAUUCUAAUUAAUACCUUUCG